CAGCCGCCACGGUAAAACGGGGGGAGCCAGCGUUGUUCGGAAUCACUGGGCGUAAAGCGCACGUAGGCGGCUAUUCAAGUCAGGGGUGAAGGCCCGGGGCUCAACCCCGGAACUGCCUUUGAAACUAGAUAGCUUGAAUCUUGGAGAGGCGAGUGGAAUUCCGAGUGUAGAGGUGAAAUUCGUAGAUAUUCGGAAGAACACCAGUGGCGAAGGCGACUCGCUGGACAAGUAUUGACGCUGAGGUGCGAAAGCGUGGGGAGCAAACAGGAUUAGAUACCCCUGUAGUCCCUGUCUCUUAUAC
rnacentral:rRNA from 1 species